rnacentral:tRNA from 1 species
GAGGGUAUAGCUCUGUGGUAGAGCACAUGCUUAGCAUGCAUGAGGUCCUGGGUUCAAUACCCAGUGCCUCCA